AGAGUUUGAUCCUGGCUCAGGACGAACGCUGGCGGCGUGCUUAACACAUGCAAGUCGAGCGGUAAGGCCUUUCGGGGUACACGAGCGGCGAACGGGUGAGUAACACGUGGGUGAUCUGCCCUGCACUCUGGGAUAAGCUUGGGAAACUGGGUCUAAUACCGGAUAUGACUGCAUGCCGCAUGGUGUGUGGUGGAAAGAUUUAUCGGUGCAGGAUGGGCCCGCGGCCUAUCAGCUUGUUGGUGGGGUAAUGGCCUACCAAGGCGACGACGGGUAGCCGACCUGAGAGGGUGACCGGCCACACUGGGACUGAGACACGGCCCAGACUCCUACGGGAGGCAGCAGUGGGGAAUAUUGCACAAUGGGCGGAAGCCUGAUGCAGCGACGCCGCGUGAGGGAUGAAGGCCUUCGGGUUGUAAACCUCUUUCAGCAGGGACGAAGCGUGAGUGACGGUACCUGCAGAAGA
rnacentral:rRNA from 1 species